GCCGGGCAUGGUGGCUCAUGCCUGUAAUCCCAGCACUUUGGGAGGCUGAGGUGGGUGGAUCACCUGAGGUCAGGAGUUCGAGACCAGCCUGACCAACAUGGUGAAACCCCAUCUCUA
ensembl:misc_RNA Metazoa_SRP Metazoan signal recognition particle RNA